CUUACCAGGUCAAGACAUGGGCGUGAUUGACAGGCUAAUGACUUUUCUCGAUUCCAUGGAUGGUGGUGCAUGGUCGCACUUAGUUGGUGCAGUGAUUUGUCAGGUUUAUUCCGGUAACGAACGAGACCUCGGCCUUGUAAAUAGCUAUGCUGCUUACAGGGACAUUGGCGGCUACGCCAAGGAAGCUCGAGGCAAUUGCAGAUCUGGAAUGCCCUUAGAUGUCCUGGGUCGCACGCGUGCUACAAUGACGCCACGAACGAGCUUGCGUGAUGAAAGUUACGCAUAAUCAGCAGUCGGCGUCUUAAGGGAUAGUCUCUUGUAACUGUGGGACUCCAACUAGGAAUGUCUCGUAAGCACAAGUCAACAUCUUGUGUUGAUUACGUCCCUGCUCUUUGUACACACCGCCCGUCGCUCCUACCGAUCGAGUGUUUAGGUGAAUUUGAUGGACGUAAGGAAGUCAAAUAAACCUGAGCACUAGAGGAAGGAGAAGUCGAACAUGC
rnacentral:rRNA from 1 species